UCACAUUCGAGUUUUAAAGCU
rnacentral:piRNA from 1 species